CAUUCGAUACUGGUGAGCUAGAGUAUGGGAGAGGAUGGUAGAAUUCCAGGUGUAGCGGUGAAAUGCGUAGAGAUCUGGAGGAAUACCGAUGGCGAAGGCAGCCAUCUGGCCUAAUACUGACGCUGAGGUACGAAAGCAUGGGGAGCAAACAGGAUUAGAUACCCUGGUAGUCCAUGCCGUAAACGAUGUCUACUAGCCGUUGGGGCCUUUGAGGCUUUAGUGGCGCAGCUAACGCGAUAAGUAGACCGCCUGGGGAGUACGGUCGCAAGACUAAAACUCAAAUGAAUUGACGGGGGCCCGCACAAGCGGUGGAGCAUGUGGUUUAAUUCGAUGCAACGCGAAGAACCUUACCUGGCCUUGACAUACUAGAAACUUUCCAGAGAUGGAUUGGUGCCUUCGGGAAUCUAGAUACAGGUGCUGCAUGGCUGUCGUCAGCUCGUGUCGUGAGAUGUUGGGUUAAGUCCCGCAACGAGCGCAACCCUUUUCCUUACUUGCCAGCAUUUCGGAUGGGAACUUUAAGGAUACUGCCAGUGACAAACUGGAGGAAGGCGGGGACGACGUCAAGUCAUCAUGGCCCUUACGGCCAGGGCUACACACGUGCUACAAUGGUCGGUACAAAGGGUUGCUACACAGCGAUGUGAUGCUAAUCUCAAAAAGCCGAUCGUAGUCCGGAUUGGAGUCUGCAACUCGACUCCAUGAAGCCGGAAUCGCUAGUAAUCGCGGAUCAGAAUGCCGCGGUGAAUACGUUCCCGGGCCUUGUACACACCGCCCGUCACACCAUGGGAGUUUGUUGCACCAGAAGUAGCUAGCCUAACUGCAAAGAGGGCGGUUACCACGGUGUGGCCGAUGACUGGGGUG
rnacentral:rRNA from 1 species